rnacentral:rRNA from 1 species
UCAUAUGCUUGUCUCAAAGAUUAAGCCAUGCAUGUCUAAGUAUAAGCAAUUAUACCGUGAAACUGCGAAUGGCUCAUUAAAUCAGUUAUCGUUUAUUUGAUAGUACCUUACUACUUGGAUAACCGUGGUAAUUCUAGAGCUAAUACAUGCUGAAAACCCCAACUUCGGGAGGGGUGUAUUUAUUAGAUAAAAAACCAACGCCCUUCCGGGCUUCUUGGUGAUUCAUGAUAACUUUACGGAUCGCAUGGCCUUGCGCCGGCGACGGUUCAUUCAAAUUUCUGCCCUAUCAACUUUCGAUGGUAAGGUAUUGGCUUACCAUGGUUUCAACGGGUAACGGGGAAUUAGGGUUCGAUUCCGGAGAGCGAGCCUGAGAGACGGCUAGCACAUCCAAGGAAGGCAGCAGGCGCGCAAAUUACCCAAUCCCGACACGGGGAGGUAGUGACAAUAAAUACUGAUACAGGGCUCUUUUGGGUCUUGUAAUUGGAAUGAGUACAAUUUAAACCUCUUAACGAGGAACAAUUGGAGGGCAAGUCUGGUGCCAGCAGCCGCGGUAAUUCCAGCUCCAAUAGCGUAUAUUAAAGUUGUUGCAGUUAAAAAGCUCGUAGUUGAAACUUGGGUCUGGCUGGCAGGUCCGCCUCACCGCGUGUACUUGUCCGGCCGGGCCUUCCUUCUGGAGAACCUCAUGCCCUUCACUGGGCGUGUUGGGGACCAGGACUUUUACUUUGAAAAAAUUAGAGUGUUCAAAGCAGGCCUUUGCUCGAAUACGUUAGCAUGGAAUAAUAGAAUAGGACGUGCGGUUCUAUUUUGUUGGUUUCUAGGACCGCCGUAAUGAUUAAUAGGGACAGUCGGGGGCAUCAGUAUUCAAUUGUCAGAGGUGAAAUUCUUGGAUUUAUUGAAGACUAACUACUGCGAAAGCAUUUGCCAAGGAUGUUUUCAUUAAUCAGUGAACGAAAGUUAGGGGAUCGAAGACGAUCAGAUACCGUCGUAGUCUUAACCGUAAACUAUGCCGACUAGGGAUCGGGCGAUGUUCUUUUUUUUGACUCGCUCGGCACCUUACGAGAAAUCAAAGUUU